AACGAACGCUGGCGGCAUGCCUAACACAUGCAAGUCGAACGAAACCUUCGGGUCUAGGGGCGCACGGGUGCGUAACGCGUGGGAACCUGCCCUUAGGGUCGGAAUAACUCCCCGAAAGGGAUGCUAAUACCGGAUAAUGUCUUCGAACCAAAGAUUUAUCGCCUUUGGAUGGGCCCAAGUUGGAUUAGCUAGUUGGUAGGGUAAAAGCCUACCAAGGCGACGAUCCAUAGCUGGUAUGAGAGGAUGAUCAGCCACACUGGGACUGAGACACGGCCCAGACUCCUACGGGAGGCAGCAGUGGGGAAUAUUGGACAAUGGGCGAAAGCCUGAUCCAGCAAUGCCGCGUGAGUGAUGAAGGCCUUAGGGUUGUAAAGCUCUUUUACCCGGGAUGAUAAUGACAGUACCGGGAGAAUAAGCUCCGGCUAACUCCGUG
rnacentral:rRNA from 1 species